UUUUUUUUUACAGAAGGGAAAACUGAGGCCUAAAGACACGGAGUGAGCCAGAAUUCGAAUGUGCAAGGACACCUGGAGGAGAGGGCGACCAGGCAAAGGCUUAGAGGAGUCUAAUUUAGCCACCAGGUGUCAGGGGACAAUGUACAAGCAGGGAUGGAUGAACUACAGCCUGGAGUUGGCGGUGUGUGUGCGUGCAUGUCUGUAUGUGUGUGUGGGGGCGCACACUGCAGGGGGCAUGCUGUGCUGUGGAGGAAAUUGUGUGUCAUCUAUUUAGCCAGAAGCUCUGUCUCUUGUUGCCCUCACCCUCCUCAUCCACACUGCACACAGUAGGCGCUCGGUUCAUGUCCCUGAUGAUUAUCAGAGUGUGGUGAUCUAAGUGCGCCAGGAUAAGAAGGCAGGGUGUCGGGGAGGGUGUUUCCGGCAGGGAAUGCAGUCUGGCACGGGUGCAGAAGUUUGUGAAGUUUAGAGAACAGAAGGUUCUGUGUGGUUGGAAUAUGAAUUUGGGGGGUCAGGAUUGAGAAUGGAUAACCAUGGGAGCAGAGUAUACAAUAGCAUGGCUGUUAGACCAUGAAGGCUUUCCUGGGCCCAGGGGGGUCUGUGUGAGAGAGACCCCCAGGCCCCUGCAGCAUGAUCAUAGAGGCGUGGAUGGACCCAGGUUGAGGGCUCCUGGGGUCAUCCCCAGGCUGGGUGGGAAGCUACAGUCACACGGGACAGAUCAGCCACCCCCAGCCUCACUUAGGUCUUGGCCCCUUCACACCUACACAGCCAGCCUGCCCCUGCUUAGGGCAAAAUAAGCAAGAUCUAGAAAGCUCCCGAGAUACAAAGGGUUUCAGAUGGGCAGGACAAUACCUUGAUUCUAUUUUACCUAGGAGAAGGCCUCUCCCAUGGCCUGAGGCUCUGGAGGAGCCAAGGGAGCAACCAGGCUGGGCCUCAUCCCUCAGGAACAACAUUCACUACUUGUAAAAUCUGCAUCCAAUUCAACUAACUCUCCGCAUCAACCUGUGAGGUUGGCUCACAGCAGUGAAGUGACUUGUCCAGAGUCGCACAGCAUGUGAGUAAUUUUGAGAACCCAGAUUCAUUCCCAAGACUGCCCAUACCCUCCACUCAGCCCUCCAUGCUCUGCGCUCCUUUGAUGGAACAAGAACAAAACUCAGUGGUUCCCAAAUUAGAUGACCACUAUUUUCCUGUUAUCCCUGGCUUCAAAGUCACAGGCUUUGGGGACCUUUGCUGAUUCUUUUUUGAGGCUCAAUGUUGGGGGCUAUUCCAUCAUCAGAAGCCAGCUCCCCCUCCAUGUUUAAUUCAUCUCAAAGUCAGUGUCCCGAGGCCAGUGGGAAGCCUCCUACUGUCACACUCCUAGUGAGAACUUGGCCUUUGCCUGGCAAUCACAGCCAGGGCCCCACUCUGCCAAGCCUGAUUCGAUUCUCCAGUUUGCCCCACCCCUUCUUUGAUUAGUGCUGGCUCCUGAUGGACUAUGACCAACUCAUGCAGAUACACGCUGUCCUUCUGCAGUCCUCAGGACUUGGGUUCUUGCUGGAGACUCUCCAAGCACCCUUCCUUCUCCGUGGUAGGUCUCUGUAUUAUCUCGGGGGAAGUCAUAACCAGGAAGCUCCUGCCUUGCACUUUGCUCAUUGACCCUCCUGGAAAAGGCCAACAGAGAACAGCUGGAAAUCUAGGGGAGAAGAGAUGUGCCCAGUCUGCAGGUGCCAGCUUGUCCCCAGAAGUAGAUGGCUGAUAAGCUGGAGGUAAAGCUGGGGCUGGGGCACAGAGGUAGCUUUUAAGGAGUUCAUCCCUAGACAAUGUGGGGUGGGCAUUCAGAGGCUCCUGAGACAACCAGGGUUGAGCAGGCUAGGUCUGGAGCCCACUGGGGCACAUCCCAAGCAGUUCAAGAAGGCAGGGAUAGAUGGGCUUGUUUUCAAUUCCUGGUACCCAAAAAUUGAAUCCAGAGGCCCUUAACCACUGAGCCACGUCCCCAGCCCUUUUAAAAAUAUUUUAUUUAGAGACAGGGUCUCGCUGAGUUGCUUAGCACCUUGCCGUUGCUGAGGCUGGCUUUGAACUUGUGAUCCUUCUGCCUCAGCCUCCUGAGCUGCUGGGAUUAUAGAGAAGCACUACUGCUCCCAGAGAGAUGGAUAUUCUUGUACCAGGAAUGAUUUGUAAGAUGUGGGACCGUCCAGCCUAGAGGACAGAAGACAAGGUGUAGGGAGAGUUAACAGGUCUUUGAUUGAAGAAGAGGCCAGGGAUGUGAUCAAGGAGACAAAGAGAGGACCAGAAGGCAGCAGGGCUGGGAGGUCACACUGGGACUGUUUUCAAAGAAAACCAUUCUCCUGCAAAAGAGGUGCCCUCCUCCCAGGAGGCCUGACAGUAGGGAGAGGUGGAGGAGGGGGAUGGGCAUCUUGCUCACAGCUCUGAGAACCCUGGACCCCAGAUCUGACUCCAGGUGCUGGACUGCACCCUCGCCUUUCACGGCCUCUCUCCCUGGCCCACAGUUUGUCUUAUAUAUGUUCAUAUCCACCACCCCUCCCCCCACACCUGGCAAAGUGCUCAAACAUCCCUACAAGAUCCAGUCCUUGCUUUCCGCCUUGGCUCAGCCCUCACCACUUUUGCCUCUGACCCAGCAAUAAGCUGGGCUCCACUGUUUUCACAUCCUCCUCCGGACUCUGUGUAUUCUAAACACACCAAGGAGCUUCUCUUAGGCAUAUUGUCCCUGCUCCUCCUCCCCGCUUUAUUGGUUCCAUCUUGUUUAUCUUUCAAGUCUCAGCCUAAGACUGAGCCUCUUUUGUGAACUCUCACUACAGCCUGAAUUAGGGCCACUGCUUAGUGCUCUAGAUGAUCCCCGUCACACCUGUCCCUGCCCGUAACACACUGCAUUGCAUUCUCCUGAUCACCUGCCUGGAUCCCCCUCUAGACCAUAAGCUCCAUCAGGGCAGCGACUGUCUGUCUGGCCCUGAGGUGGAGCUGGUACCCAGCAAAUAUAUGUUGAAAGAAUGAAUGGGCGAAUGGAGGGGUAGAUGGGUGGAUGGAAUGCCCAUAAGAGAAUUGAUAAAGAUCACACCAGAGAGCCUGCCCCACCGACUAGCAUGGUCUGGUCCCUGCAGUUCCAGUUAAGAUAUACGUGGGGGCUGGGGAUGUGGCUCAAGCGGUAGCGUGCUUGCCUGGCAUGCAUGCGGCCCGGGUUCGAUCCUCAGCACCACAUACAAAAAAACAAAGAUGUUGUGUCCGCCGAUAACUAAAAAAUAAAAUACUAAAAAUUCUCUCAAAAAAAAAAAAUUCUCUCUCUCCCUCUCUCACUCUCUCUUUAAAAAAAAAAAAGAUAUACGUGGGCUGUUGCUCAGAUAACAAGGUGAAGAAGUGAAUGGGUUUUUACCACCAUCAAGAUGACAAUGAGAAGCCUCUUCUCCUAAGUCUCUAUGCUCAGCUCUUUUUAAAAAUUGAAGUAAAGAUGGACACAGUGGAGCAUACCUGUGACUCCGGAGGCUGAAGCAGGAAGAUUGAAAGUUUGAGGCCAGCCUCAGCAACUUAGUAAAACUCUCAGCAACAUAACAAAUAAAAAAAAAUAAGAUAAAAAGGGUUGCUGGGCUGGGGAUGUGGCUCAAGCGGUAGCACGCUCGCCUGGCAUGCAUGCGGCCCGGGUUCGAUCCUCAGCACCACAUACAAACAAAGAUGUUGUGUCCGCCGAAAACU
rnacentral:lncRNA from 1 species